AAAAGAUUAGGGUGGGAUGGCCAGCUUCUUUGUGCGUGAUGCAAGUGUCACGCCUGGUCCGACCAAUCUCUCUGGCCCUACGUGAAUCAGACACGCCUCCUCAAGCUCAUCUAUAAAAUCCCAUGCAUUUCAUUGUGGAGCCGGAAGUCCCACCCGGGAGCCCCUCUCUCUCCUAAGAGAGAGAGCUAUUCUCUUUCUUUUGCUUAUUGAACCUCCAGGGUUAAACUCACUUCUUGUAUGUCCGCGUUGUUGAUUUCCCUGGCACGAGACGACGAACCUCGGGUACUUACCCCAGACCACAACGCCGCUUCAAAGGCACAAUUCCCCUUUCAUGUUUGAGGGAAAAGUGCUGUGGGUCCUUGAGUGUUUGGUGACAGAAGCUGCUGCGGGGGAAGGGGGCUGCUGAGAUGGAGGAUCGCUUGAGCCCAGCAGGUGGAGGCUGCAGUGAGCCACGAUCUCACUAUGGCACUCCAGCCUGAGCAACAAAGUGAGACCAUCUUGGGGGAUAAAACAAAAACACCACAAAAUAAAACCAAAAAAACUCAAAAGUUGUACAAUGGCUGGGAACAAUGGCUCAUGCCUGUAAUCCCAGCACUUUGGAAGGUGGGAGGAUCACUUGAGGCCAGGAGUUCAAGACGAGUUUGGGCAGCAUGGCAAGACCCUGCCUCUAAUUUUAAAAAUAAAAAAUAAAAAUAAACUUUGUAAGAGCAAAUGUGAGUUUUGAUUGUG
rnacentral:lncRNA from 10 species